CUUCACAGGUGGAGAGUAAAUCACAAGCCUGGAGUGCUUCAGCUUGCUGCUAAAGGUCAGCUUACAGUAAAAUAAGAAAAUCACAUUUUGGCAUGAAAAUCACCUCUUUAUUUAUUUAUUUAUUUAUUUAUUUAUUUAUUUCCUUCCCCCCUUCUUUUUUUCUGUCUAUUCCACAGCACCAUACAAUUGGAGAGGUCUAUGUCCAAUGCCUUCUGCUGCAUUUUAUAUAGGUGGCACUCCAUUUGAGACCAGGACCCACAGUUUGAGAAGCUGUCUACAUCAUUGUUAUUUGGGUUCCAUGGAGGAGUUUUCAUGUUCAAAACUACAGCAGCAGAGGGAGGAGAGACCUGACCAGGCACACCAACCAAACCUUGUUUAG
rnacentral:lncRNA from 11 species